CUCACCACGUAAGUACCUUGUCAUCUCACGUCAUCUUGAGAAGGAUGAGUAAGUACAAUAAGGUAUUUUGAGAGACAGACCACGUGUUCACAUAACUUGUAUUACAGUAUAUUGUUGUAACUGUUCAUUUUACUAGUUAUUGUUGUUAAUCUCUUGCUGUGCCUCAUCUAUAAAAUCAUAGGUGUGUAUGUACAAGAGAAAACAUAAUGUGCAUAGGAUUUGUACUACCUGUGGUUUCAGACAUCCACUAGGGAUCUUGGAACGUGUCCCCUGCAGAUAACGGGGGCUGCUGCACUCGUACUCACCACAACCCACUUUCUCUGAAUUUCUUUCCAUGCAAGUAUUUGUUGAGAGCCUUCUAAACCAACCACAGAAUGAGAUGCUGAGGUUGCUACAUAAAAAGCCUAGUAGAUUCCCUUGCCCUCCUGAAGCCAGUCUCCCCAUCAGGGAGAUGGGAAGCAGUAAGAACGCAGGCAGCCGAGAAGGAGGUGCCCUGAGGAAUAGUAGAGGGAGCGAGGUGGGGCUCCGCCAGCCUCAGUUUCCUGAGCCGUAUAAAGAGCUGCACCCUCAGAUCUAAGUCCUCGCAACACACGCUUCUGCUCUGUGAGUCUCUGCGUGUGGGUUGACAUAAUCGAGAGGAGUUUCAUACGGGUCUUGGGACUCCAGCUGGGCUGUCAACAAUAGGUGGCGUUUAGAAGGGAGGACAGCCCAGGCCGAGCGGAAGGAUGGGGCAGGAGAAGCAUGGACAUCUACAGGGAGAGGUGUGGGCUGUGCCCGCCCCCGAGGGGGAGCAGAGGUAGCCUGAGAAUGACAGAUCAGGGCUUCAGAUGUGAGACGGCGGGCUGCGGGGCCUGUGCGGGACCUCAAAGGUCAGUUUGCUGCCUGUGUGGCGUCUGAGAGACAUUACAGGCAUUUCAGAAAAGAGAGGAGUUGAGGUUAGAAAAGUGGGUGUUUUUUUUUUUUUUCUAUGAAUGCAAGACACAGGACAGGUGGAGAAAAUCUGAGAGACCAGAAACAGGAAGCCAACUCAAGACCCUGUUGUAGUUGGCCAGUAUGCAGCACGGUGGACUUGGAAUUAAGGCCAUGGUACUAUUAGAAACCCAGAGGAGUCGUUGGUUUAAUAAUUGGUGUGAACUUUAAUGAGACGGGAAUCUUAAACAAUUCCAAAGUGAAGAUCCUGGGAAAAGCGCAGAAAUAGGACCGCUGGGGAGUCCAGAUGGGAAAGACUCUGAGCUUGCUUUGGACAUGGUGAGCUGUGGUAAUGUCAGGACAUUCAGAUAGAAAUGGCCGGCUGUUUGUUAGAGAUGCCUCAUUGCUGCCCUGUCGCUGCCACGGGGUUGUCCUGUCACAGCCUAUCCUCAGGGGCUGUCUCUCCAUUGCUCCUGGGAAGACAGUCUCCUGUUAACUCCGCAAAGCCGUGCUCUGUCUUCUCUUGAAUGUGACCUUUCCCUUAAUUUAUAAUAUCUCCUCCUGAAUCUUUCAGCGUGUGAGCAUCUGUUUUCCGUUCUGCAGUGGCUGAAAGGAGGCAUAAGAAGGGAGGUCAGGGCAGCUUCUAUUUCUUCAGCCAACAGUGAUGCAUUGAGCACCUACUCUGUGCUGGGUGCUGUGCUAAGUCCAGAGCAUCUAAGAGGAGGAAAGGGGACCUGGUCCGCUUCCCGCUGGGGAAGACAGAUGGUACAUGACGGUGCCCAGCCAAAGAACCUAGAAGGGAAGAAGAGAAGAGUUUCCCCUCCUACGGCUCUAUCACUCCGGACACAUCAGAAAGCCUGUAGGUGAAAGACAAGUACCCAGUGUCUGUUCAGGGUGAUGGUUAUACUUCUCACAAAUAGUGCGGCAUUAAAUCCUCCAUCGCCCUGCUGCCUGCGUCUACUUUUUCAAAUCAGCUCUACGGGGGCCUCAAGCAACAGGAGAAAUAGGUCCAAGAUUCUCAUCAUGAUGCAGGUUUUGUAUCAAAAAUGCACAAUCAACCGACUGGAACAGGAAAUAAUUAAUCAGGACAUUACAGAGCAAGAUAUGCAGAGCAAAUCAUCGUGAAGCUAGUCUAUCUGGGAAGAGAAGUGCACAGAGCGAAAAAGAACUGAACACACAGAGGUGCGCUAGCAGUGGCUACUCUUGUCCCAGCAGCUGCCUCGGACCCAGAUGAUGCCCCUGGAAGUCUGUCAGAAUCCAGCCAUCAAGUUGAAAUAGGUUAAUCUGGUCGUAUCACCGGCAAGUGUGUCUCAGUCAUCUGGAAGAAGAUACUCACGGAAGUAAACUAUGGGUACACUCUUCAGCAACUAUGCGGCUGAUUUAAAAGGCUUCCAGUGAUGCAAGGUGAAUUCAACAGUGAGACCAAAGAGGUUUCUCCAGCGGCCUUCCCAGGCACAGCUGCAGAGCACAGAGCUUGGGCUUUGAGCCAGAAAGAACUGGGUUGAAACUGGCUCUUAUCAGUUACCAACCGGGUGACCUUGGGUCCUUGGAUGCGUUUCUUACCCCUCUCUGAGCCUUACACUCCUCAUGAAUAAAAUAAGCAGGAGAAACCUACUGCUGGGGGUUCAAGAUUUAAAUGAAAGAACAACAUAUAUAAAAGCACCUAACGCAGUGCUAGGGCACAGUAGAAACCUAAGUUCCCAUUUUUCUAGAACCCAGUUCAGGCUCCGUUGGCACACACGACAGGAGAAAGUUUUUGCCAUCUUUUGACAGGAACCUGAAGUUGACUGGCCCUUCUGCAAAGCUAUCAUCUGGUCGAUCUGUUGCAGAAGAGCUGAGUUUGGGUGAUGACUCAAUCAGCUCGGUCCCUCUCACAAAAUGCCACAGACCGGGUGGCUUACCCAGCAAACGCUGAUUUCUCACGGUUCAGGAGGCUGGGAAAUCCUGGAUCAAAGUUCUGGCUGAUGAGGUAUCUGGUGAAAGUCCUCUUCCAGAAUUUGCUCUUCUCUUUUUAUAAGGGCACUGCUCCCAUCAUGAGGACCCCACCCUCGUUGCCUAAUCGAACCCCAGUCCCCUCCUGAAGGCCGUGCCUCCAAAUACCGCCACAGCGCGUCUCUGUUCAGUCUGUAGCCGCUGCAUCGGCCGCUUCCACACAGACUUGGAACUUCAGACACAGAAGCCUCAGAACUUUCUCAUGACUUCCUGCCGCUCUGACUCCUAUGCAGCAAAUACACUUCUCUGCGGACUGUGUGGCCUCAGCCAAGGCUGCUGGGGAAACUGUGUGCCUGUCUAGGUACCGAGCAUGUAGUCGGUGCUUAUCAAAUAGGGACGGGCCAAGUGUGCCUGGAGAAUGGGCCCCCAGAGCCCACCCCCAGGGCAGGACUUUCGUGCCAUCAACGCCCACGCGUUGGGUUGCUCUUUGCCUAGGAGGCUUUUACACCUUCCGUGCCUCGUGAUAUUACUGCCCUCGCUUCUCUCAUCCUGGCAGAGUGGUCUCACUUCCAUUUCGGAGCUCGGAGGAGUGCUUACCCCUUUCCCUAGGCUCUCCCUGCUGGGAACCAAGUAGCACUGGGUCUACGCAGAAAACCGGGAGACCUUCUGGCCCGUCCUUGUCCAGCAGAGCCAGGUGCUGUGCUGAGGACUCCAGGCGCCCGCUCCUUCUCGUCGGGCUCGCUUGGCAGUGGCCGUCCCACAGGCAGCAGGCCCGAGGCGGGCAGACACCAGCUGGCUCCCGUCCCUGCACCGCCCCAUCUGCUAGAUGAGGGGGACUCUGGGGAGAAGCGGGGAGGAGCUGGCCAACUUACAGCCUGAGGGCUAGUGUGGGUGCACACCGCACACAUGGUGGAGAGAAGGGAAGGAGGUUGUGGUGAAGGGCACCUUGUUCUCCCUGAGGAAAGGUGCAAGGAAACGUGCCUUCUCAGCACAUCUGUUGCCCAGACGGUGCUAGCAUUCCUCCCUCUCAGCAAGUUCACGACCUGUCUGAGCCCGCGUUUCCUCAUCUGUAUGAAAGACAGAGAAGAUCAUAAUAGAAAUUCACGUUGUCAGUACUUCCAGCAAACAGGCUCAAUUCGUUUACCGAAUUUCCAUCUGCCUUAAGACUGCUGGAUGAGAUUGAAGUCGGCUACGGGCGAUGAAACAAGCAAGGGCUAAGAGCAGCCGAACUCCUGCCAAGGUUAGGUGCCAAGGCAAUCCUGCCCUGACCUCAGAUAGCUCUGGAAAAGGAAGGGCUGGGGAGAAGCUGCAGGCUAUCUGCAGAUUUCCAUCCUCCCAGUUUUCCAGGGAGAGGAUGAGAAUAACAUGCUUUUAAGAGCCAGGCCAGAUAAUGCCAGUGAGUGGAGCGUGCUGGGGAUUUGCAUGGAAAACACGAGCCGCGCCCUGUCCUUCCACAGAGACGCACUCUCUGCUUGCUGGUCAAGCAAAUUGUCCUCUGCAUACGUUUUAUUUUCUCACUUCUCGUGGAGUCAUGAACACGGAGAAAUUAUUUCCCUAUUACAAGGAAAAUACUAAAAUAUAGGCUCAAGCAGCAGCUGCGGAAGCAACUGAGAAGACGUGGGGAGUGCGCACCCCACCCAGAGGGGCGGAAGCCGAGCCGUGGGGCGUGAGCGUGUGCACCCAGUGUGGCCACAUCUUCCCCUUUAACAGCAGCUGGAAAUUCAGAUUUUUUAAAAUGUUUUUUUCUUCUUCUUUUCUUUUAAUGGGGCAAAUGUUGUUUAAAACUUUGUAUACACCAAAUAAAACCCACCUGCCCAUGGCCAAUUGGCAUCCCACCUUCCACAGAGUACCCUGAACGUUGAAGAGUUCUUGACAGAUUACUACAAAUUUGGCUUUCUGGGUAACCCUCCUAAUGCAGCUAGGAGCCUCGGGAAUCUCAGUAACUGGGAGGGGCGUGUCUUUGACCUUGACUUGGUCUUUGUGCCCUCGGCGGAUUCCAGGGAGCUGGUGCAGGCUGGACAGAGGGGGGAUCUCUCGUCUCAGCAGCAUUUCUUUCCUGGGGUCUUUAUGUCACCCUGAGGUAGUCGCUGGGGCACCGGCUCCUUCUGUAAGCCACCUCCUGACCUCUCCUUGGGUGGAGAUUAAAGAAGAGACACUUUCCUGUUGUCCUGACCAAGCUCGUGGCAGAGAUGACAGGCCAGCAGUGCUGGGGUGAGCCCUCGUGGCCUCUAGGCCUCUCGCCCCUCUUCUUACACGUGGAGAAGCUGAGAUGCAGAAAGCCCAGCCACCUUGCAGGAGCCCCCAGCUCCUCGGUGACAGCUGAGGGGCGAGAUCCGGGGCUUCCUGCCUCACCGUCCCACACUACCUCUUACAGCAUGCCACCUCUGCCCCCACCGGGCACACCUAGCCUCUCCAGGCCUUCUCUACAGGCUGCGUGGGCCUUGCAACAGACUACACGGCCAAGCUCAGAGUGGAGGCUGGGAAAACUGGGGAAGGCCAGAAGGAAAGCAGGUGGGGGUUUGGGGAACAUUCUCUUGUUGCUCUCUGCAUGUGCAGAAUUCACCCAAAAUCCAUCCAGAAAAAAGGCAUGUUCUUAUUUUGUCACCUGGGUCUGGAGUCACCCAUGCCGCUGAAGCCUAUUGGACCGUGCCAAGCAAAUUUGGCCUGAGGACAGGCCUGGCUGGGUCUUUUCCUGGGGUUUGCACAGGUUUUCACAGAGCCGCUCCUGCAGGUGGGGGCGGAGAGGCAAGAGUCUUUGGCUCUCCCUCCAUUCUCCCCUCACCGGGCUUGAAGCCUGCACACUUCUCACUCCGGCCAAGGGCUUGCUUCCUCCGACGGAAGGUUUCCUGGAGGGGGUGCAUGGCCUAAAGAACGGCUCAUCCUGGGAUUCCUAACCUCUGAUCUUAACCUGUGAUGCUAUUUGAUCCUAAAUCACUCACUUUUAUUUAUUUUUUAUUUUUU